CACCCAAUUCACCAACACUUUUCCCGAGCAAACCAACAUGUCCCAUCACUACCAAGAUCGUCAAGAGUGGGCGAGACUUAGACCGUCCAGGAAAAUAAGGAUGUUAUGAAAAGAGGAAGGAGGAGAGAAGACUAGCAAGGUACAAGUGGGUCUCCUUUACACAAGUCACCACCACUGUACCUGGGCAACACAAUAACUCCCAUCACUAACAAGGUACAAGUGGGUCUCCUUUACACAAGUCACCACCACUGUACCUGGGCAACACAAUACCUCCCAUCGCUAACAAGGUACAAGUGGGUCUCCUUUACACAAGUCACCACCACUGUACCUGGGCAACACAAUACCUCCCAUCGCUAACAAGAUACAAGUGGGUCUCCUUUACACAAGUCACCACCACUGUACCUGGGCAACACAAUACCUCCCAUCGCUAACAAGGUACAAGGUGUUCUUUUGGCCGCUGGUAUCAUGUUAAGAGGAGCAGCCACUUGUGGGUUUUGUGUUCCACCAGUAUGUGUUUCACCCUUGCCCAGCUACUUACACUGUAUAGAAAAAAGCAUCCAGUAUCUAAUCUUGCACAAUUUUCACCCUCGAUAAAUGUAACCUCAUCAGUGUUUAUAUUUGCUCCUUGAUUGUGGGACUCAUCUACGUGACUGGCGCUAAAACAACACAUAAGAUAACACAUAUCACCAUCAUCAUUAUUUCGUUUAACGUCCGUUUUCACUCUUCCUGAGCGGUUGGACGCUUUAUGGCUCUCCUCCACAUAUUUUGAAGUCGAGCCAUUUUUUCCGGGUGCACGCCCUUCCUGACCCAACCACAUAUUUCAAGUGGUGGCCCCAGCCUUUGCCUGAACGAAAAAGGAAAACCCUACAAGGCAGCAGGGGGCUAUGAGGUGUACCACCCACUAUUUCACUCAUAACUGGAACUGGAUGGCCACUGACUCUGAUAACGAGAGUUCACCUGCCCGAGUAAUGUUUCUGACUGAUACGUGUUCUACUAAGCU